rnacentral:rRNA from 1 species
UACGACUACUCCCGCGGCGAGGUCGUCAUCUUGGCGUCGCCGGUGGACCACCGGAGGAAGACGGUCGAGAGGCUGAUUGGGCUGCCCGGCGACUGGGUCGGCCUCCCGGAGAAGGAGGAGGUCCGGAAGAUACCGGAGGGCCACUGCUGGGUUGAAGGGGGCAACGGCAGCGUCAGCCGGGACUCGAGAGCCUACGGCCCUGUGCCGCUCGGUCUGGUGCAGGGGAGGGUGACGCACGUGGUGUGGCCGCCUAGCAAGAUGGGCCGCGUCCACAAGAGGGUGCCGUCGGAAGGAAGGGUCAUGCCACAGCGCAAUCUCUAG